GUUAUGUGUGCCCGGCAUGGGUGCAGUCUAUAGGGUGAGAGUCCCGAACUGUGAAGGCAGAAGUAACAGUUAGCCUAACGCAAGGGUGUCCGUGGAAACAUGGAAUCUGAAGGAAGCGGACGGCAAACCUUCGGUCUGAGGAACACGAACUUCAUAUGAGGCUAGGUAUCAAUGGAUGAGUUUGCAUAACAAAACAAAGUCCUUUCUGCCAAAGUUGGUACAGAGUAAAUGAAGCAGAUUGAUGAAGGGAAAGACUGCAUUCUUACCCGGGGAUC
rnacentral:ncRNA from 1 species